rnacentral:rRNA from 1 species
ACGGGAGGCAGCAGUGAGGAAUAUUGGUCAAUGGAGGCAACUCUGAACCAGCCAUCUCGCGUGAAGGAAUACGGCCCUAUGGGUCUUAAACUUCUUUUAUAGGGGGAUAAAGUGAGGCAUGCAUGCCUUUUUGUAGGUACCCUAUGAAUAAGCAUCGGCUAACUCCGUGCCAGCAGCCGCGGUAAUACGGAGGAUGCGAGCGUUAUCCGGAUUUAUUGGGUUUAAAGGGUGCGCAGGCGGCCUGUUAAGUCAGCGGUAAAAUCGUGAGGCUCAACCUCAUCAUGCCGUUGAUACUGAUGGGCUUGAUUGCGGUCGAGGUAGGCGGAAUUCGUCGUGUAGCGGUGAAAUGCAUAGAUAUGACGAAGAACACCGAUUGCGUAGGCAGCUUACCAGACCGAAAAUGACGCUCAUGCACGAAAGUGCGGGGAUCGAACAGGAUUAGAUACCCUGGUA